GACGAACGCUGGCGGCGUGCCUAAUACAUGCAAGUCGAACGCAGUGGGGACGGGUGAGUAACACGUGGGUAACCUCCCAUCAGAGGGGAUAACACUUGGAAACAGGUGCUAAACCGAUCCUGAUGGAUGGACCCGCGGUGCAUUAGCUAGUGGGGGAGGUAAAGGCUCACCAAGGCCACGAUGCAUAGCCGACCUGAGGGGGUGUUCGGCCACACUGGGACUGAGACAAGGCCCAGACUCCUACGGGAGGCAGCAGUAGGGAAGCUUCGGAAAUGGACGAAAGUCGGACCGAGCAACGCCGCGUGAGUGAAGAAGUGUUGCGGAUCGUAAAACUCUUUUGUUAGAGAAGCGGUAUCUAACCAGAAAGCCACGGCUAACAACGUGCCAGCAGCCGCGGUAAUA
rnacentral:rRNA from 1 species